CCUACGGGCGGCAGCAGUGAGGAAUAUUGGGCAAUGGCCGGAAGGCUGAACCAGCCAAGUCGCGGGAAGGAAGAAGGAGCUAUGGGUUGUAAACUUCUUUUAUAGGGGAAUAAAGGUAUCCACGUGUGGAUAUUUGCAUGUACCCUAUGAAUAAGCAUCGGCUAACUCCGUGCCAGCAGCCGCGGUAAUACGGAGGAUGCGAGCGUUAUCCGGAUUUAUUGGGUUUAAAGGGUGCGUAGGUUGGUUUUUAAGUCAGCGGUGAAAGUUUGUGGCUCAACCAUAAAAUUGCCGUUGAAACUGGGAGCCUUGAGUGUGUUUGAGGUCGGCGGAAUGCGUGGUGUAGCGGU
rnacentral:rRNA from 1 species